rnacentral:rRNA from 1 species
AUUGAACGCUGGCGGCAUGCUUUACACAUGCAAGUCGAACGGUAACAGGCCGCAAGGUGCUGACGAGUGGCGAACGGGUGAGUAAUGCAUCGGAACGUGCCCAGUCGUGGGGGAUAACGCAGCGAAAGCUGUGCUAAUACCGCAUACGAUCUAUGGAUGAAAGCGGGGGACCGGAAGGCCUCGCGCGCUUGGAGCGGCCGAUGUCAGAUUAGGUAGUUGGUGGGGUAAAGGCCCACCAAGACAACGAUCUGUAGCUGGUCUGAGAGGACGACCAGCCACACUGGGACUGAGACACGGCCCAGACUCCUACGGGAGGCAGCAGUGGGGAAUUUUGGACAAUGGGCGCAAGCCUGAUCCAGCAAUGCCGCGUGCAGGAAGAAGGCCUUCGGGUUGUAAACUGCUUUUGUACGGAACGAAACGGUCCGGGCUAAUACCCUGGGCUAAUGACGGUACCGUAAGAAUAAGCACCGGCUAACUACGUGCCAGCCGCCGCGGUAAAAC